UGGAGGCAGCAGUGGGGAAUAUUGGACAAUGGGCGCAAGCCUGAUCCAGCCAUGCCGCGUGAGUGAUGAAGGCCUUAGGGUUGUAAAGCUCUUUUGUCCGGGAAGAUAAUGACUGUACCGGAAGAAUAAGCCCCGGCUAACUUCGUGCCAGCAGCCGCGGUAAUACGAAGGGGGCUAGCGUUGUUCGGAAUCACUGGGCGUAAAGCGCACGUAGGCGGACUUUUAAGUCGGAGGUGAAAUCCCAAGGCUCAACCUUGGAACUGCCUUCGAUACUGGGAGUCUUGAGUAUGGUAGAGGUUAGUGGAACUGCAAGUGUAGAGGUGAAAUUCGUAGAUAUUUGCAAGAACACCAGUGGCGAAGGCGGCUAACUGGACCAUUACUGACGCUGAGGUGCGAAAGCGUGGGGAGCAAACAGGAUUAGAUACCCCGGU
rnacentral:rRNA from 1 species